AAUAUUUUCAUUAAUUGAUUCUCAAAAUUAAACAAAAAAAAAACGAAACCACAGAUGCGUUCUCUUCCUUCUUCGAUGCUCAACCUAGUAGCAGAAGCUGGAGCUAUGAUUCUCUUAAAAACAUCCGUCAGAUUUCUCCCGCCGUUCAAAAUCAUCUUAAACGGGUUUAUCUGACCUUAUGUUGUGCUCGUGUUGCGUCUGCGUUUGGAGCUUAUCUCCAUGUGCUCUGGAAUAUUGGUGAUAAUCUUACAACGAUUGGAUGCGUUGUAACUAUGAUUUGGCUCCUUUCAUGUCCUCCUUAUGAACACCAAAAGAGACUUUCUCUUCUGUUUGUGUCUGCUGUUCUUGAAGGUGCUUCUGUUGGCCCCUUGCUCAAAGUGGCAAUUGAUGUUGGACACUCACCGUAAAAGAUGUCAAUGGGUGAGUGAGUGGUGGGGUUUUUUAAUAAAAAUAAAUUCUGCACAAGAACAUGGCUAAAAGUUUUCUUUCAAUUUUCAUAAUUUCAUUUGGUUUACCCGAAAGGUUUAUGUCAGAUUUUGAAAGCCACCAUCGUUAGAAGGAUUUACGUAUAAACAAGUUUAAGUGGAUGUAUUAUCAUGGACAUCGACCAUCUAUUUUUUAUUGACUAUUACAUGUUUGAUCUUUAAGAAUGACUAAAUGUUCUAUAAAA